GGAAUAUUGGUCAAUGGAGGCAACUCUGAACCAGCCAUGCCGCGUGCAGGAUGACUGCCCUAUGGGUUGUAAACUGCUUUUGUCAGGGAAUAAACCUUUCUACGUGUAGAAAGCUGAAUGUACCUGAAGAAUAAGGAUCGGCUAACUCCGUGCCAGCAGCCGCGGUAAUACGGAGGAUCCAAGCGUUAUCCGGAUUUAUUGGGUUUAAAGGGUGCGUAGGCGGUCCUAUAAGUCAGUGGUGAAAGACGGCAGCUUAACUGUCGCAGUGCCUUUGAUACUGUAGGACUUGAAUCUAUUUGAAGUGGGCGGAAUAAGACAAGUAGCGGUGAAAUGCAUAGAUAUGUCUUAGAACUCCGAUUGCGAAGGCAGCUCACUAAGUUAGUAUUGACGCUGAUGCACGAAAGCGUGGGGAUCAAACAGGAUUAGAUACCCCUG
rnacentral:rRNA from 1 species